UAUGUUUAUAGUUAAGUCACAGUCUAAAUGACAAGCCAUUCUAUAGUUGUUUUGAGUUGUUACAAAUACAUAGUCAUCCAUCAUGUCUCAUAUUAUUGAGUAAAUCAUCUUCAAGAAAAUGAGUGAAUACAUUGUCUGACUUUGGGUGAAUUAGCACAUUCCUAACUGAAAGGAACAUUUGUAAACACAAAGCAAAGCCUUUUGUUUUGAGUUAAAUUGAGAAUGCUAAGAUUCUCAUCCUGGGGGUUUGUACAUAAGGUUAAAAGUUUGAUAGUAAAUUGAAAGUCGUGCUUUUGUUUUUAGUAAUCCAAUCACAAGUAGAGAGACCAAAUCCCACAUUUUACAUUAACAUUAAAAUAUAAUUAAACCAAAUUUUUCUCUGGGGAACUUCACAUUCCAAAUUCAGUCUUAAGCAUUAACAUUAGUACUUCGGAAAGCAUACUCCUGUUAUUUAAGAUGCAUUUAAUGUGAAAGUGGACUGGAAUUUUGAACUUUCCCCUGAUAUUUGAAAUGACUUUUAUGUUCAUAAUUAGGACAGGGUGUUGAUAAGGAACAAGGAUAUGUUUUUUAAAUUUUGAAAGAGCUUUCGAGAAAAUGAAUUUCUGGGGAGCCAGCAGUAGUGCAGUGGGUUAAGUGCACAUGACCUAAAGUACAAGGGCCUUGUAGGGAUCCCGGUUUAACCCUCUCACUUCCACACCUGCAGAGUAGGUGUCGUCGCUUUAUAAGCAGAGAAACAGGUCUGCAAGUGUCUGUCUUUCUCUCCCCCCUCUGUCUUCCCCUCCUCUCUUGAUUUCACUCUGUCCUACCCAAUAACAACAACAAUAACAACAAGGGCAACAAAAUAAUGACCUCUAGGAGCAGUGGAUUUGUAGUGUAGGCACCAUACUCCAGUGAUAACCCUAGAGGCAAAAAAAAAGAAAAAAGAAAAUGAGUUUCUUUAGUUGUUUUUUUUUUAAUGUAUUAUACUGACUUUUUCCAAAAUAAAAGUAUACUUAUUUUUUCUAAGUGUACAUGUGUUUAUUACAAAGUAAUAAUUCAGGCCAACCCUCACCACACUGAGAGAAACUUCACUGCUAUGGUGUCUUUCUCUUUGUCUAUAUCUGCUUCUAUUUUUCUAUUGGGGGGG